AUUGAACGCUGGCGGCAUGCCUUACACAUGCAAGUCGAACGGCAGCACGGGGGCAACCCUGGUGGCGAGUGGCGAACGGGUGAGUAAUGCAUCGGAACGUGUCCUCUUGUGGGGGAUAACCAGUCGAAAGAUUGGCUAAUACCGCAUGAGAUCGCAAGAUGAAAGCGGGGGACCGCAAGGCCUCGCGCGAGAGGAGCGGCCGAUGCCGGAUUAGCUAGUUGGUGGGGUAAGAGCCUACCAAGGCGACAAUCCGUAGCUGGUCUGAGAGGACGACCAGCCACACAGGGACUGAGACCCGGCCCAGACUCCUACGGGAGGCAGCAGUGGGGAAUUUUGGACAAUGGGCGCAAGCCUGAUCCAGCCAUGCCGCGUGUGAAGAAGGCCUUCGGGUUGUAAAGCACUUUCGGACGGAACGAAAUCGCGCGGACGAACAUUCCGCGUGGAUGACGGUACCGUAAGAAGAAGCACCGGCUAACUACGUGCCAGCCGCCGCCGUAAGAC
rnacentral:rRNA from 1 species